rnacentral:rRNA from 1 species
GACGAACGCUGGCGGCGUGCUUAACACAUGCAAGUCGAACGAAGAGCGAUGGAAGCUUGCUUCUAUCAAUCUUAGUGGCGACCGGGUGAGUAACGCGUAAUCAACCUGCCCUUCAGAGGGGGACAACAGUUGGAAACGACUGCUAAUACCGCAUACGAUCUAACCUCGGCAUCGAGGAAAGAUGAAAGGUGGCCUCUAUGUAUAAGCUAUCACUGAAGGAGGGGAUUGCGUCUGAUUAGCUAGUUGGAGGGGUAACGGCCCACCAAGGCGAUGAUCAGUAGCCGGUCUGAGAGGAUGAACGGCCACAUUGGGACUGAGACACGGCCCAGACUCCUACGGGAGGCAGCAGUGGGGAAUCCUCCGCAAUGGACGAAAGGCUGACGGAGCAACGCCGCGUGAGUGAUGACGGCCUUCGGGUUGUAAAGCUCUGUUAAUCGGGACGAAAGGCCUUCUUGCGAAUAGUGAGAAGGAUUGACGGUACCGGAAUAGAAAGCCACGGCUAACUACGUG